rnacentral:rRNA from 1 species
GACGAACGCUGGCGGCGCGCCUAAAACAUGCAAGUCGAACGAGAAGCCCGGGCUUGCCCGGGUGGACAGUGGCGAACGGGUGAGUAACACGUGAGGAACCUGCCCCGAAGACCGGGACAACACCGGCAAACCGGCGCUCAUACCGGAUGCCUUCACCGAAUCGCAUGGCCUGGUGAAGAAAUGGAUUCCGCUUCGGGAUGGCCUCGCGGCCUAUCAGCUUGUUGGUGAGGUAAUGGCUCACCAAUGCGACGACGGGUAGCUGGUCUGAGAGGAUGUCCAGCCACACUGGGACUGAGACACGGCCCAGACUCCUACGGGAGGCAGCAGUUAGGAAUCUUGCGCAAUGGGCGAAAGCCUGACGCAGCGACACCGCGUGCGGGAUGAAGGCCUUCGGGUUGUAAACCGCUUUCAGCAGGGACGAAAUUGACGGUACCUGCAGAAGAAGCCCCGGCCAACUACGUGCCAGCCGCCGCUGUAA